AACUCGGCAAAAUGACCCCGUAACUUAGGGAUAAGGGGUGCCACCAUCAGGUGGCCGCAGAGAAUAGGCCCAAGCGACUGUUUACCAAAAACAUAGGUUUCUGCUAAGUCGCAAGACGAUGUAUAGGAGCUGACGCCUGCCCGGUGCUGGACGGUUAAGGGGAUCUGUUAGAGCAAUCGAAGCAGUGAGCUUAAGCCCCAGUAAACUGCGGCCGUAACUAUAACUGUCCUAAGGUAACGAAAUUCCUUGUCGGGUAAGUUCCGACCCGCACGAAAGGCGUAACGA
rnacentral:rRNA from 1 species